ensembl:lncRNA
CUGGGAUCCCAGGAGAAGGGGCUGCCCGGAAAGGAGCUGGAAUCUCUGAGGAGGGCUGCUAUUGCAAAUCUGGUCCUCCAGCAUCCACCUGUUCUCUGCACCUUCAGUACCCUUCAAUAAAUCACACCAUUUCUUAAAAAUAAAGGUGGACCUCAUCUGAUCAGUUGAAGUCUUGAAUAGAAUAAAAAGACUGACCCUCCCUUGAGUAAGAGGGAAUCUCGCCUGCCUGCCUUCAAACUGGGACAUUGGUUUUUUUCCUGCCUUUAGACUCAAACUGAUCAUUGGCUCUUUGUGGGAUUCACGCCUGGCAGCCUUUGGACUGGAAAUACACCAUCAGCUCUCCGGGUCUCCAGCUUGCCAGCCCACCCUGCAGAUCGUGGGACUUGUUGGCCUCCACAAUCAUGUGAACUAAUUCCUUAUAAUAAGUCUCUUUCUGUAUAUAUAUAUAUUUUUUAUUGGUUCUCUUUCUCUGGGGGAUCUUGAUUAAUUCGGAAGGUGAAAGGUGCAUCUGUUGGGUCUACUGCUUUCUCUGGCCAGCACACUGUGGUAGGCAGAAUUCUCAAAACAGCCCCCGAGGUCCACACCCUAAUCCUGAGAACCUGUGAAUGGGCUGAGAUCCCACUCCUGUGAUGCUCUGGUGCUAUGUGGCUCACUGGAUCUUAAAAUAGAGAGAUUGUCCAGGUGGCCCUAAUCUUAUCACAUAAACCCGGCUAAAGGCAGAGAGUUUUCUCUGGUUGGAAGUGUAGUGGAAGUCAGAGGAUUAGCGUGAGAGGGAGUCUAGAUGAGGGGUCUUGCCACAGGCUGUGAUGCUGUGAUGGGGCCUGGAAGGAAGCCUCUGGAAGGAACUGUGGAUGGCCCAUAGAAGUUGAGAGUGACUCCUGGCCAACAGUCAGGAGACAAAGACCUCAGUCCUACAACUGCAAGGGACUGAAUUCUGCCAAACCUGAGUGAGCUUGGAAGCAGAUUUUCCACACAGCCUGCAGAGGAGCACCCAGCCUGCUGACAUCUUGACUUCUGCCUGGAGAGACCCUAAGCGGAGAACCCAGGAGGACCCACCUGGACUUUGGACCUAUAGGAUUGGGAUAAUAAGUGGGUAUUGUUUUAAGAGCCAGUGGUAAUUUGUUACACAGAGUAGAAAACUGAUGCACAUAGACAAAGAGAUGUGGCUUCCUAUGGCAGCACUAGCAGAGAUUUAGGGGUGAGUCAUUGGUGUCAAGAGGCAGGCUGUAGGACGUCUGUUUCAGCUGGCAUAGACCUAGCAGGUAUAGUGACUCUGGAGCCAACAGUGCCAGUGGUGGCCUUCCUGUUUCCAGCUUUCCCAUUGUGGCAGAGGUUGGGGUUACUCUGGUAGGACAAUUCUACUGUGUUGUCCUUGGAUUCCAGGAGUGCCGUCUAGACUGUACUUAUCCAGCCCUUCUAAUGGUUUUGAGCACCCAAUUCCUCAUAUUAAAUCACUGCUUAAAUAUAAGAUACUCUGUUAUAUGCUACUGAACCUUGACUGUUAUAUCUUCAGAUCUCACCUACUUGUUAAAUACAAUCACAUCUGUCAGCUUAUUCAAAUCUCGGAAGCACUGACCACUCCUUACUUCCUGAAAAUCACUCUUCUUUUGUUUUUGAUGACAUCUCAUUCUCCUGGUU